rnacentral:rRNA from 1 species
AACCUUUACAAUGCACGAAAGUGUGAUAAGGGGAUCCUAAGUGCUUUGCUUUUAGUAAGGCUUUUGCCAAGAGUAAAUAUCUUGGCGAAUAAGUGGUGGGCAAGACUUGUGCCAGCCGCCGCGGUAACACCAGCGCCACAAGUGGCAACCAGUAUUAUUGGGCCUAAAGCGUCCGUAGCUAGUUUAGUAAAUUUUCUGUGAAAUCGUUAGGCUUAACUUAACGGCAUGCAGAAAACACUGCUGAACUUGGGACCGGGAGGCGUCAGAGGUAUUCUUGAGGGAGCGGUAAAAUGCUAUAAUCUCAGGAGGACCCCCUGUGGCGAAGGCGUCUGACGAGAACGGAUCCGACAGUGAGGGACGAAAGCCAAGGGAGCGAACCGG